CACAUCCUUGAUCUAGGGGAGCGGCGCGUUCUGUGAUCGUAUAGUGAGCCCGCGCUGCUGACACCCGUAUGAUGAAUCACCCGUGCCCGGCGCCCAGGCGUCGAGCACAAUUUUUGGACGU